rnacentral:rRNA from 1 species
UACAGAGGGUGCGAGCGUUGUCCGGAAUCACUGGGCGUAAAGGGCGCGUAGGUGGCGGCCCAAGUCCAUGGUGAAAGCUCGAUGCUCAACAUCGAGUCGGCCACGGAUACUGGGUUGCUCGAGCACUGUAGGGGCAGAUGGAAUUCCGGGUGUAGCGGUGGAAUGCGUAGAGAUCCGGAAGAACACCGGUGGCGAAGGCGGUCUGCUGGGCGAGUUGCUGACACUGAGGCGCGACAGCGUGGGAGCAACAGGAUA